rnacentral:ncRNA from 2 species
CGCCCUCAUCUGGUAGAUUUUAGCCGUUGGCACAACAGGGAAUGCCGAACGCUCCGGCCCUACAACCGGGCGCCAGUCGGCAGCGGCCCUCGCCACUGUAAGCCCCGCACGUUUCAACGACGCCGCGUCGACACACCCACUGCCCCACCACCUGGAGGCGGGAAGGGUCCGAGGUCACACCACAGCCGGGCAAGCCAGGACACCUGCAACCAACACGCCUUAUAA